rnacentral:rRNA from 1 species
UACGUAGGUGACAAGCGUUGUCCGGAUUUACUGGGCGUAAAGAGCGCGCAGGCGGUCGUUCAAGUCGAGUGUGAAAGCCCCCGGCUCAACUGGGGAGGGUCAUUCGAUACUGAUCGACUCGAAGGCAGGAGAGGGUAGUGGAAUUCCCGGUGUAGUGGUGAAAUGCGUAGAUAUCGGGAGGAACACCAGUGGCGAAGGCGACUACCUGGCCUGUUCUUGACGCUGAGGCGCGAAAGCUAGGGGAGCAAACGGGG